rnacentral:sRNA from 1 species
AGUUUUACCACAGCACAUGCGCAGUACAGGAUCUGUCUGUUCGUUUGUCGGCGCUACCAAUAAAGUUUUAGUGAGCACAGACUCCCUUUUCUUUGGCAAGAUGGCGGAGUACGACUUGACUACUCGCAUCGCGCACUUUUUGGAUCGGCAUCUAGUCUUUCCGCUUCUUGAGUUUCUCUCUGUAAAGGAGAUAUAUAAUGAAAAGGAAUUAUUACAAGGUAAAUUGGACCUUCUUAGUGAUACCAACAUGGUAGACUUUGCUAUGGAUGUAUACAAAAACCUUUAUUCUGAUGAUAUUCCUCAUGCUUUGAGAGAGAAAAGAACCACAGUGGUUGCACAACUGAAACAGCUUCAGGCAGAAACAGAACCAAUUGUGAAGAUGUUUGAAGAUCCAGAAACUACAAGGCAAAUGCAGUCAACCAGGGAUGGUAGGAUGCUCUUUGACUACCUGGCGGACAAGCAUGGUUUUAGGCAGGAAUAUUUAGAUACACUCUACAGAUAUGCAAAAUUCCAGUACGAAUGUGGGAAUUACUCAGGAGCAGCAGAAUAUCUUUAUUUUUUUAGAGUGCUGGUAAGUAUAAGUACUUUUUUUUUGUCUUUUGUAGGAUUCCCUUGGUUCUUCAAAACAUGUAUAUAGAUAGAUUUGGGUCUGUUCAUUAAGUUUUCAACAGUCAUUGGCAAAAGAGAAAAAAGUAAAGAAAACCCUCCCACUCAAAAACAGAAACUAGAAACCUUGUUUCAGGGCCUCAAAAUUUGGAGGGUGAUUUAACUUGUCCUUGAAAUCCAAAAGUAGGAACAAUUUUAUGAUUUUUAGCAUUAACAGAAUUGUAUCAUGUAAUGGAUUUAUUAUUAUUAUAUUAUACAGCACAGUGAGUGGCACAUUGUAGGUGCUUAAUUAAUAUUGUUGAGUAAAUCCAUUAUUCCUGAUUUAAUACUUUAUCGUAUAUAUAUAUAUAUUCCUUGAACUUGGCUCUAAACAACUGUGGAAUCCUAAGGGUAUGUGAAAUAUUUUAUGCCUUAGUAGUAACUUUUUUCCAGUUACCUCUGCCUUCAGCUAUUGGAAUAUAAAUAUCAAUGGUUUCUUCAUUACGUGGGGUAUAGAUGAGUUUAAAUGGUACUAUUAACCAUGAAGUAUCCUAUUACCGUAUAUUUGACAGGCUUCUAGAUUUAGUGCUUUUGUUAGAGAAGGAGAGUUGUGUGAAGCCAAAUUAAAAAUCAGGCCUUGGCCAAGUGCGGUGGCUCACACCUGUAAUCACAGCACUUUGGGAGGCUG